rnacentral:rRNA from 1 species
GACGGAGGGGGCUAGCGUUGUUCGGAAUUACUGGGCGUAAAGAGCGCGUAGGCGGCUUGGUAAGUUGGAAGUGAAAGCCCGGGGCUUAACCUCGGAAUUGCUUUCAAAACUGCUAGGCUAGAGUGUAGUAGGGGAUGAUGGAAUUCCUAGUGUAGAGGUGAAAUUCUUAGAUAUUAGGAGGAACACCGGUGGCGAAGGCGGUCAUCUGGGCUACAACUGACGCUGAUGCGCGAAAGCGUGGGGAGCAAACAGG